UACGUAGGGUGCGAGCGUUAAUCGGAAUUACGGGGCGUAAAGCGUGCGCAGGCGGUUUUGUAAGCCAGAUGUGAAAUCCCCGGGCUCAACCUGGGAAUGGCAUUUGGGACUGCAAGGCUGGAGUUUGGCAGAGGAGACUGGAAUUCCCGGUGUAGCAGUGAAAUGCGUAGAUAUCGGGAGGAAUACCGAUGGCGAAGGCAGGUCUCUGGGCUAUAACUGACGCUCAUGCACGAAAGCGUGGGGAGCAAACAGG
rnacentral:rRNA from 1 species